UAAGCGGAGGAAAAGAAACCAACAGGGAUUGCCUUAGUAGCGGCGAGUGAAGCGGCAAAUGCUCAAAUUUGAAAUCUGGCUCUUUCAGAGUCCGAGUUGUAAUUUGAAGAAGGUAUCUUUGGGUCUGGCUCUUGUCUAUGUUUCUUGGAACAGAACGUCACAGAGGGUGAGAAUCCCGUGCGAUGAGAUGAUCCAGGCCUAUGUAAAGUUCCUUCGAAGAGUCGAGUUGUUUGGGAAUGCAGCUCUAAGUGGGUGGUAAAUUCCAUCUAAAGCUAAAUAUUGGCGAGAGACCGAUAGCGAACAAGUACAGUGAUGGAAAGAUGAAAAGAACUUUGAAAAGAGAGUGAAAAUGUACGUGAAAUUGUUGAAAGGGAAGGGCUUGAGAUCAGACUUGGAAUUUUGUAUGUUACUUCUUCGGGGGUGGCCCCUACAGUUUAUCGGGCCAGCAUCAGUUUGGGCGGUAGGAGAAUUGCGUUGGAAUGUGGCACGGCUUCGGUUGUGUGUUAUAGCCUUCGUCGAUACUGCCAGCCUAGACUGAGGACUGCGGUUUAUACCUAGGAUGUUGGCAUAAUGAUCUUAAGUCGCCCGUCUU
rnacentral:rRNA from 1 species